rnacentral:pre_miRNA from 1 species
CAAUUCAAAACUGUAAAUUAGCAUAGAUUUUCUAGACUAAUUUGCUGUUUUGGAUUGGG